ACUGGGCGUCGUGGCGGGCGACUGUGAGCCAGCUUCUAGGCAGUAGAUUGGUGUGGAUGAAGUGAGGGGAGAGUCCCGUAGCGAUCGUGGUGUACGGCGACCGGGCGUCCGCGCCAAGCGUUGCGUCGCCAGGGUGCUACUGUCGAAGGACAGUGGUUCCCGAAGGUCAAGGAGGGGUGCACGGCUCAGGCCGGAAUGGGACCAGGCAAAAGCCCCCGCGCGAUGCAGUGGCCGGAUAGCGCCCAUAAGUGCUCACAUCGUCACGACCUCUCCGAUAAAUUCAGACCAUUAGUCGU
rnacentral:SRP_RNA from 1 species